AUACGGAGGGUGCAAGCGUUAUCCGGAAUUACUGGGUUUAAAGGGUGCGUAGGCGGUUUAAUAAGUCAGAAGUGAAAAGUCCGGGCUCAACCGGGGCCUUGCUUUUGAUACUGUUAGACUUGAAUUAGGCUGAGGUUAGCGGAAUGUGACAUGUAGCGGUGGAAUGCAUAGAUAUGUCAUAGAACACCAAUUGCGAAGGCAGCUAACUAGACCUUAAUUGACGCUGAGGCACGAAAGCGUGGGGAGCGAACAGGAUUAGAAACCCUAGUAGUCC
rnacentral:rRNA from 1 species